GGGCAUGAAGUCACAAAAGAGUCAGAUACGACUUAACGGCUAAACAACAACAAUUUUUCCCUGGGUGUUGUGCCCUCUCUUAGCACUGGUGCAGGAGCUUUUGAAAGAUAAGGGAUGCUUUAUUGUGUCAUCUGGCCUUUGCUUAGCAAAGGACUCCACAACUGGAGGGAGGAAUUGAGAAACCUGAUAUCCCCAUUUUCCAAACCAGGGUGAUGUGCUUCGUGUGUGCUUCACAUGUGCAGACAUGUGAAACAUGUCUGCAAGCUCCUACACAUUCCUCUUCUCCCUGGAAUUUAAUUACUGUCAUCAGGAUAUGCUGAAGUAAUACAAGCUGUUGACAGCCAAGACACAUCAAAGCUCAACUUCAGUUACUACAUGUGGGUUGCAACACUUACCUCCACUUAUUGAUAAAGCUCCCUCCUCACAGCUCCUGAAAUCUGUCCUUCUCUCUUAAAAUGCUGCACAAACUGUUUCGCACAAAAAGCUGGAGUAAGUGCUCUCAUCUUUUUCACCUCUGACCUCUAAUGAUUACCAGCAAAUAAUGUCACCAGAGUAGACGCUGGCCUAAACACAUAACUGGGUGCAACGGGGUGUUUUUAUCUAAUUAACUUUGUGGCUUUUUCCCAUCUUGCAAGAAGGCGGGUGAAAAGGCUGAGAAGCCAGAUACUAAGGAGAAGAAACCUGAAGCCAAGAAGGCUGAUGCUGGCAACAAGGCUAAAAAGGUGAAAAUGGUGAAGAAAGUUAAGAAGGGGAAGCCCCACUGCAGCCGAAACCCUGUCCUGGUCAGAGGAAUUGGCAGAUAUUCCCGAUCAGCCAUGUUCUCCAGAAAGACCCUGUACAAGAAGAAGUAUUCAGCAGCUAGAUCCAAGGUCGAAAAGAAAAAGAAUGUUCAGGUUCUUACUACUGUCACAAAACCCUUGGUGGCGACAAGAAUGGUGGUUCCCGAGUGGUCAAACUUCGCAAAAUGCCUAGGUAUUACCCUACUGAAGAUGUGCCUCGGAAACUGUUGAGUCACGGCAAGAAACCCUUCAGUAAGCAUGUGAGGAAGCUGCGAGCCAGCAUCACUCCUGGGACCGUUCUGAUCAUCCUCACGGGAUGCCACAGAGACAAGAGGGUCGUUUUCCUGAAGAAGCUGGGCAGUGGCUUGCUACUUGUGACAGGGCUUCUAUCCCUCAAUUAAGUUCCUCUGCAUAGAACACACCAGAAAUUUGUCAUUGCCACCUCCACCAAAAUCGAUACCAGUGGUGUGACAAUCCCAGAACAUCUCACUGACACUUACUUCAAGAAGAAGAAGCUGCGUAAGACCAGACACCAGGAGGGUGAGAUCUUCAACACAGAGAGAGAAAUAGGAGAUCACAGAGCAGCAUAAGGCUGAUCAGAAGGCUGUGGACUCACAAAUUCUGUGAAGAAUCAAAGCUGUCCCUCAGGUCCAGGGCUACCUCCGCUCUGUGUUUGCUCUCACAAAUGGAAUUUAUCCUCACAAAGUAGUAUUCUGAACUUCUUGCAAAGAACCUAAUUAAAUAACUUGUCCAUUUAAAAAAA